GGCGGUGUAGCUCAAGUGGUAGAGCAGUGGAAUCAUAAUCCACGUGUUCGGGGUUCGAGUCCCUGCACCGCUA
rnacentral:tRNA from 1 species